UGGCGAACGGGUGAGUAACACGUGGGCAAUCUACCCUGCACUUCGGGAUAAGCCUGGGAAACUGGGUCUAAUACCGGAUAGGACCUCAAGACGCAUGUCUUCUGGUGGAAAGCUUUUGCGGUGUGGGAUGGGCCCGCGGCCUAUCAGCUUGUUGGUGGGGUGACGGCCUACCAAGGCGACGACGGGUAGCCGGCCUGAGAGGGUGUCCGGCCACACUGGGACUGAGAUACGGCCCAGACUCCUACGGGAGGCAGCAGUGGGGAAUAUUGCACAAUGGGCGCAAGCCUGAUGCAGCGACGCCGCGUGGGGGAUGACGGCCUUCGGGUUGUAAACCUCUUUCACCAUCGACGAAGGUCCGGGUUUUCUCGGAUUGACGGUAGGUGGAGAAGAAGCACCGGCCAACUACGUGCCAGCAGCCGCGGUAAUACGUAGGGUGCGAGCGUUGUCCGGAAUUACUGGGCGUAAAGAGCUCGUAGGUGGUUUGUCGCGUUGUUCGUGAAAUCUCACGGCUUAACUGUGAGCGUGCGGGCGAUACGGGCAGACUAGAGUACUGCAGGGGAGAUUGGAAUUCCUAGUGUAUCGGCGGAAUGCGCAGAUAUCAGGACGAACUCCGGUGGAGAAGGCGGGUCUCUGGGCAGUAACUGACGCUGAGGAGCGAAAGCGUGGGGAGCGAACAGGAUUAGAUACCCUGGUAGUCCCCGCCGUAAACGGUGGGUACUAGGUGUGGGUUUCCUUCCUUGGGAUCCGUCCCGUAGAUAACG
rnacentral:rRNA from 1 species